GGGGGGGGGGGGGGGGGGGGGGGGGGGGGGCGAGGCGGGGGGGGGGGGCGGGGGUGGGGGGGGGGCUCGCGUGGCGGGCGGGGGCGGAGCGCGUGGGUGGCCUGCCCUGGACGUUGGGGUAACUGAAGGAAACUGGGGCUAAUACCGGCUAGGCGCUCCUGCUGCAUGGGAGGGGGUGGAAAGUUGCGGCGGUUGGGGUUGGAAUCGCGGCUUAUGCGCUUGUGGGUGGGGGAGUGGCUUACCAAGACGUGGACGGGUAGAAGGCCUGAGAGGGUGACCGGACACAUUGGGACUGAGAUACGGCCCAGACUCCUACGGGAGGCAGCAGUGGGGAAGAUUGAACAAUGGGAGGAAGCCUGAUGAAGCAACGCAGCGUGCGGGAUGACGGCCUUCGGGUUGUAAACCGCUUUCGCCUGUGACGAAGCGUGAGUGACGGUAAUGGGUAAAGAAGCACCGGCUAACUACGUG
rnacentral:rRNA from 1 species